ACGAACGCUGGCGGCAGGCUUAACACAUGCAAGUCGAGCGCCCCGCAAGGGGAGCGGCAGACGGGUGAGUAACGCGUGGGCACGUACCUUUUGGUUCGGAACAACUCCGGGAAACUGGAGCUAAUACCGGAUAAGCCCUAACGGGGAAAGAUUUAUCGCCGAAAGAUCGGCCCGCGUCUGAUUAGCUAGUUGGUGAGGUAACGGCUCACCAAGGCGACGAUCAGUAGCUGGUCUGAGAGGAUGAUCAGCCACACUGGGACUGAGACACGGCCCAGACUCCUACGGGAGGCAGCAGUGGGGAAUAUUGGACAAUGGGCGCAAGCCUGAUCCAGCCAUGCCGCGUGAGUGAUGAAGGCCUUAGGGUUGCAAAGCUCUUUUGUCCGGGAAGAUAAUGACUGUACCGGAAGAAUAAGCCCCGGCUAACUUCGUG
rnacentral:rRNA from 1 species